rnacentral:rRNA from 1 species
AGCAGCCGCGGUAAUUCCAGCUCCAAUAGCGUAUAUUAAAGUUGUUGCAGUUAAAAAGCUCGUAGUUGAAUUUCGGGAUCAAUAUGUCGGUCGUGCCUUCGGUACGUACUGGUAUCAUUGGUCUCUCCUUUCUGACGAACCAUGAUGUCAUUAAUUUGGUGUUAUGGGGAGUUAGGACUGUUACUUUGAAAAAUUAGAGUGUUUAAAGCAGGCUUUAGCUUGAAUACAUUAGCAUGGAAUAAUGAAAUAGGACGUUCGAACCUAUUUUGUUGGUUUCUAGGAUCAACGUAAUGAUUAAUAGGGAUAGUUGGGGGCAUUAGUAUUCAAUUGUCAGAGGUGAAAUUCUUGGAUUUAUUGAAGACUAACUACUGCGAAAGCAUUUGCCAAGGAUGUUUUCAUUAAUCAAGAACGAAAGUUAGGGGAUCGAAGACGAUCAGAUACCGUCGUAGUCUUAACCAUAAACUAUGCCGACUAGGGAUCGGAUGAUGUUAAUUUUUUAAUGA